AUAUGGAGUAAUAAUUCGUGUCAAGAAGAUGGUUGAUGUUAAUAAAGAAGGGGGAGAUGUGGGAGUGUGGCCAUGGGGGUCGACAAGCCCCAUGGUUGGUGAUAACAUCAGACUCUUAACGAUGAGGCCAUCAGGAAUGUAAAGAGUUUAGAGGGAACAAAGAAGGGUCAUUCAGGAGACGCCAUGGCGUCUCGGGUUGCUUGUUCUCCAGCCGUUAAGGCAUGGAAGUUGCUGGGUGUUUGCUGGUUGCCAGGCAAAGUUGUUCGACCAACGAAGAGUUAGUAGAAAAGGACUGCUGUGGGGCGAAUGGUAUGGUAUAAAAGGGAGCCCGUCCUCGAUGAUGAAAAACAAACAGGGACAUGAACAACAGGAACAGGGACAGGCUAACAGAACAGAGAGUAGGACAGGAACAGGGACAUUGAUCGCCUGAUGAAGACAGGUUCGGCCAAACUCAGCAAACCGCUCAAAGAAGCUCGUAUAGAAAGUCGCUGGAAACAGGCGCACCGGAACUGGAAGGAAGCUCAAGCCGAGAGAAGCGGACCCGCGCACCCAACUGCCCCUCGCUGGCCGAAGGCCCUAUAGGACCUGAAAAGGAGCCGGAUCUGUUUCCCUUCGAUCCGGGAGGAAUAGGGAUACAUACGGCCCGAAGGCCGAGUUGCUUAACAACUUAAAGCGAGACAUAUUGUUCCCACGACUAGCCCUGGAACUCUCCGGUGUUUGUAAUCAAGAAAAGGAAUGGAAAAUGGGGACUGUUAUAUGAUCUGAGAAAAAUUAAUGAAGUCAUGGAAGAUACGGGAGUACUUCAACCAGGAUUACCAACUCCAACUAUGCUCCCCCAGUCAUGGACAUUAAUAGUAAUAGACUUAAGGGAUUGUUUGUUAAACACUUGCCAGAAUUCUGGAAACUUUGCCAUGUUUAUGUUUCAAAUGAUACCUUUUCUGAUUGUACAUAUGUAUAGGUGUACUCGGGUUUCUUAUGAAUA